CAACUCCCUGAAUUUCUCAUAAAUUGGAUUGAAAAUCCGACGGUAAUUCUAUAUUGAGUAAACGACAAACUGUGAGAGACACGUGUACUCAAAAUUCUCCGAAUGAGCUACACGUUUUUCCAUUUUCACUGUCUUGAUUCUCUCCUAAGUCUCCUUCCCAGCCCCACUUGCUCUUUGUUAUUUGCAGUUUUUUUAAUCAUCUUUUUAGUUAUCAACGCUCAGCCUCACUGUGACAACUUGGACUCCGUCCUUCUGUCGAUUUCAAUUUUCAAAUAAUGUCCGCAACCCCAACAAUGUGCUCUUCUCUUUCAGAAAAACUGAGAGCUAAUUUUGUCCUUCGAACAACAGUUUCUGAAACUUUCAAAGUUCAUCUCUUACUGUAUGCGGUGUUUACUGAAUUACAGUGACCUUUCAUUUUUAAGUUUUAACAUGAAACAGAGAAGAUUAAUAAAUAAAAUAUAAAGGGUUGAUGGAGCUAGUGGGCGUGGGAGGGUGUUAAAAGCUAGAUUUGUAAAUGGAGGUUGACUCUGUGUUAUAUGAUUGUGCCAAACCCAUUAUAUAUAUAUUUUUUUCUUCGUUUUGUUGCCAUUCAAAAACCCAUCAUUAUUAUUUUUAUUAUUAUACAUAUGUCAAAGAUUUCCAAGAUUUCACGUCAUCUAAUUUCAUUUUUCUAUUCGCUUCUCUCUGUUAUCUUCUCAUGCAAAGUCUUGGGUCUUGUAUAUGGUCGUAUUAGUCUUUUUCUUUCUUUCCCAUGUGUUUGUUCGAUCGAGAUUCACACUUCAUGCCAUGCACUCUAACUCUGUAACCCACCACUACUACAUUAUAUUUUUAAUUCAGAAAAAAUAUUAUAGCUAAUGCAAUUCCCGUGAUUAAUCCUUUUAAAUUAUUCCCAGCUAUGGUUGGAAUGUCAAUAAAAAUGUAAAUAUCAGGCGAUUUCAAAUAAAUAAAUACAUGUACACGUAUAUAUAUUUGGUUAGCUUUGUCCGUAUGUAUAUUUAUUUUUAAGUUUACUAUUCACAGAUGUAACUUUUAGAAUGUCUAUAAUGCCCCUAAAAUUUUAACUGUUACUUAA